rnacentral:rRNA from 1 species
GAUGAACGUUGGCGGUGUGCCUAAUACAUGCAAGUCGAACGGAGUUAGUAGCAAUACUGGCUCAGUGGCGAACGGGUGAGUAACGCGUUGGUGAUCUGCCUUGAAGUGUGGAAUAACGUUUCGAAAGGAACGCUAAUACCGCAUGUGCUCUCGAUUUUCAGAAAGUUGAGAGUAAAGGAUUUAUUCGCUUCAAGAGGAGCCUGCGUCCCAUCAGCUGGUUGGUAGGGUAACGGCCUACCAAGGCUAUGACGGGUAGGGGACCUGAGAGGGUCGGCCCCCCACAAUGGAACUGAAACACGGUCCAUACACCGUACGGGUGGCAGCAGUAGGGAAUAUUAGAAAUGGACGAAAGUCUGAUCUAGCAACACCGCGUGUGCGAAGAAGGCCUUCGGGUCGUAAAGCACUUUUUGGAAGGAAUAGGAAGGAAUGUACUUCCAGAAUAAGUCUCGGCUAACUACGUG